UUCUAGAGUAUGGCUAUAGCUCAAAGAGAGAGAGCUGAGACGUCAACUGAUUGAGAAGGAGCAGCUACAGUGACUUCAGUAUGUGGACACAAGAAGUUAGCAAAACACUGAUGAAAAAGAGGGAGACUGUUUUGGAAGAAACUGAAAUCCCAAUAAGUCAUGCUAUCCAUUGUGAUAUCCAAUGCUGAGCAUCAAUCUAAAGACCAGACCGACCCUUUGGAAAGAGAUGUACAAAAAAACAGAGAGCCAGGGGCACUGGAACUUUACCCAUUUUUGGCAGAAAUGAAACUGAG
rnacentral:lncRNA from 1 species